rnacentral:lncRNA from 1 species
AAGUUGCAGUAAACUAAGAAACACUUCUUUGCUUUCACACAUAAAAACUUCACUUCACCAACAAAGAACCAUACACACACAUCAUGCUCUUUUCUCUCUAACAUAAACAACUUCAUACACACACAAAAAAAACACCACAACACCGUCGGGAAGCCACUGCUCCAACCUCCCAUACUCUCCAAAACCACUGUAUUUUCUUCCGACCGUGAAAAAUA